UCCUGGUUGAUUGCUGGUGCUUACAGUAUUACGCUGCAAUUUAAGAAUUUUGAAACUGAAACGGGGAAAGACACACUGAAAAUUUAUUUGGGAACAACAAAGUCUUCAGAGCUUUUUGCCGAUUUAAGUGGCCCAUAUAUGCCAAAUGCAAUAACCAAGUAUACUGAAUCAAUUUUGCUAGUGUUUACAAGCGAUUCAGCGAACAGCUAUACAGGAUUCAGUAUUACCUACCAAAUCGUUCGACCAACAACACUUCCUUCUUCUACUACACCCAGAACUAAAGCUACUCCAACAUACGCUCCAAUUAUCUGCGGCAGCUCAACAGAAACAGACUACCUAACGACUUAUCCGUGGAACGUCACAACAGGAAACCCAUCGG